AGUGAACGCUGGCGGCAGGCCUAACACAUGCAAGUCGAGCGGCAGCGGGUCCCCGCGAGGGGAUGCCGGCGAGCGGCGGACGGGUGAGGAACACAUCGGAAUCUGCCUGGUUGUGGGGGAUAACGUAGGGAAACUUACGCUAAUACCGCAUGCGACCCUGAGUCGACGGACUUGGGGUGAAAGUGAGGGACCUUCGGGCCUCACGCGACCAGAUGAGCCGAUGUCGGAUAGCUAGUUGGCGGGGUAACGGCCCGCCAAGGCGACGAUCCGUAGCUGGUCUGAGAGGAUGAUCAGCCACACU
rnacentral:rRNA from 1 species